rnacentral:rRNA from 1 species
UACGGAGGGAGCUAGCGUUGUUCGGAAUUACUGGGCGUAAAGCGCACGUAGGCGGCUUUGUAAGUUAGAGGUGAAAGCCUGGGGCUCAACCCCAGAAUUGCCUUUAAGACUGCAUCGCUUGAAUCCAGGAGAGGUGAGUGGAAUUCCGAGUGUAGAGGUGAAAUUCGUAGAUAUUCGGAAGAACACCCGUGGCGAAGGCGGCUCUCUGGGACGGUACUGACGCUGAGACGCGAAAGCGUGGGGAGCGAACAGG